rnacentral:rRNA from 1 species
GGGUUGUGAGGUUAAGCGACUAAGCGUACACGGUGGAUGCCCUGGCAGUCAGAGGCGAUGAAGGACGUGCUAAUCUGCGAUAAGCGUCGGUAAGGUGAUAUGAACCGUUAUAACCGGCGAUUUCCGAAUGGGGAAACCCAGUGUGAUUCGUCACACUAUCAUUAACUGAAUCCAUAGGUUAAUGAGGCGAACCGGGGGAACUGAAACAUCUAAGUACCCCGAGGAAAAGAAAUCAACCGAGAUUCCCCCAGUAGCGGCGAGCGAACGGGGAGCAGCCCAGAGCCUGAAUCAGUGUGUGUGUUAGUGGAAGCGUCUGGAAAGGCGCGCGAUACAGGGUGACAGCCCCGUACACAAAAAUGCACAUAUUGUGAGCUCGAUGAGUAGGGCGGGACACGUGGUAUCCUGUCUGAAUAUGGGGGGCCCAUCCUCCAAGGCUAAAUACUCCUGACUGACCGAUAGUGAACCAGUACCGUGAGGGAAAGGCGAAAAGAACCCCGGCGAGGGGAGUGAAAAAGAACCUGAAACCGUGUACGUACAAGCAGUGGGAGCACGCUUAGGCGUGUGACUGCGUACCUUUUGUAUAAUGGGUCAGCGACUUAUAUUCUGUAGCAAGGUUAACCGAAUAGGGGAGCCGAAGGGAAACCGAGUCUUAACUGGGCGUUAAGUUGCAGGGUAUAGACCCGAAACCCGGUGAUCUAGCCAUGGGCAGGUUGAAGGUUGGGUAACACUAACUGGAGGACCGAACCGACUAAUGUUGAAAAAUUAGCGGAUGACUUGUGGCUGGGGGUGAAAGGCCAAUCAAACCGGGAGAUAGCUGGUUCUCCCCGAAAGCUAUUUAGGUAGCGCCUCGUGAAUUCAUCUCCGGGGGUAGAGCACUGUUUCGGCAAGGGGGUCAUCCCGACUUACCAACCCGAUGCAAACUGCGAAUACCGGAGAAUGUUAUCACGGGAGACACACGGCGGGUGCUAACGUCCGUCGUGAAGAGGGAAACAACCCAGACCGCCAGCUAAGGUCCCAAAGUCAUGGUUAAGUGGGAAACGAUGUGGGAAGGCCCAGACAGCCAGGAUGUUGGCUUAGAAGCAGCCAUCAUUUAAAGAAAGCGUAAUAGCUCACUGGUCGAGUCGGCCUGCGCGGAAGAUGUAACGGGGCUAAACCAUGCACCGAAGCUGCGGCAGCGACGCUUAUGCGUUGUUGGGUAGGGGAGCGUUCUGUAAGCCUGCGAAGGUGUGCUGUGAGGCAUGCUGGAGGUAUCAGAAGUGCGAAUGCUGACAUAAGUAACGAUAAAGCGGGUGAAAAGCCCGCUCGCCGGAAGACCAAGGGUUCCUGUCCAACGUUAAUCGGGGCAGGGUGAGUCGACCCCUAAGGCGAGGCCGAAAGGCGUAGUCGAUGGGAAACAGGUUAAUAUUCCUGUACUUGGUGUUACUGCGAAGGGGGGACGGAGAAGGCUAUGUUGGCCGGGCGACGGUUGUCCCGGUUUAAGCGUGUAGGCUGGUUUUCCAGGCAAAUCCGGAAAAUCAAGGCUGAGGCGUGAUGACGAGGCACUACGGUGCUGAAGCAACAAAUGCCCUGCUUCCAGGAAAAGCCUCUAAGCAUCAGGUAACAUCAAAUCGUACCCCAAACCGACACAGGUGGUCAGGUAGAGAAUACCAAGGCGCUUGAGAGAACUCGGGUGAAGGAACUAGGCAAAAUGGUGCCGUAACUUCGGGAGAAGGCACGCUGAUAUGUAGGUGAAGUCCCUUGCGGAUGGAGCUGAAAUCAGUCGAAGAUACCAGCUGGCUGCAACUGUUUAUUAAAAACACAGCACUGUGCAAACACGAAAGUGGACGUAUACGGUGUGACGCCUGCCCGGUGCCGGAAGGUUAAUUGAUGGGGUCAGCGCAAGCGAAGCUCUUGAUCGAAGCCCCGGUAAACGGCGGCCGUAACUAUAACGGUCCUAAGGUAGCGAAAUUCCUUGUCGGGUAAGUUCCGACCUGCACGAAUGGCGUAAUGAUGGCCAGGCUGUCUCCACCCGAGACUCAGUGAAAUUGAACUCGCUGUGAAGAUGCAGUGUACCCGCGGCAAGACGGAAAGACCCCGUGAACCUUUACUAUAGCUUGACACUGAACAUUGAGCCUUGAUGUGUAGGAUAGGUGGGAGGCUUUGAAGUGUGGACGCCAGUCUGCAUGGAGCCGGCCUUGAAAUACCACCCUUUAAUGUUUGAUGUUCUAACGUGGACCCGUGAUCCGGGUUGCGGACAGUGUCUGGUGGGUAGUUUGACUGGGGCGGUCUCCUCCUAAAGAGUAACGGAGGAGCACGAAGGUUGGCUAAUCCUGGUCGGACAUCAGGAGGUUAGUGCAAUGGCAUAAGCCAGCUUGACUGCGAGCGUGACGGCGCGAGCAGGUGCGAAAGCAGGUCAUAGUGAUCCGGUGGUUCUGAAUGGAAGGGCCAUCGCUCAACGGAUAAAAGGUACUCCGGGGAUAACAGGCUGAUACCGCCCAAGAGUUCAUAUCGACGGCGGUGUUUGGCACCUCGAUGUCGGCUCAUCACAUCCUGGGGCUGAAGUAGGUCCCAAGGGUAUGGCUGUUCGCCAUUUAAAGUGGUACGCGAGCUGGGUUUAGAACGUCGUGAGACAGUUCGGUCCCUAUCUGCCGUGGGCGCUGGAGAACUGAGGGGGGCUGCUCCUAGUACGAGAGGACCGGAGUGGACGCAUCACUGGUGUUCGGGUUGUCAUGCCAAUGGCACUGCCCGGUA